GACGAACGCUGGCGGCGUGCUUAACACAUGCAAGUCGAACGGAAAGGCCCUGCUUUUGUGGGGUGCUCGAGUGGCGAGCGGGUGAGUAACACGUGAGUAACCUGCCCUUGACUUUGGGAUAACUUCAGGAAACUGGGGCUAAUACCGGAUAGGAGCUCCUGCUGCAUGGUGGGGGUUGGAAAGUUUCGGCGGUUGGGGAUGGACUCGCGGCUUAUCAGCUUGUUGGUGGGGUAGUGGCUUACCAAGGCUUUGACGGGUAGCCGGCCUGAGAGGGUGACCGGCCACACUGGGACUGAGAGACGGCCCAGACUGCUACGGGAGGCAGCAGUGGGGAAUAUUGCACAAUGGGCGGAAGGCUGAUGCAGCAACGCCGCGUGCGGGAUAACGGCCUUCGGGUUGUAAACCGCUUUCGCCUGUGACGAAGCGUGAGUGACGGUAAUGGGUAAAGAAGCAACGGCUAACUACGUG
rnacentral:rRNA from 1 species